CCCGAAACCAGGUGAGCUACCCCGAGACAGCCUAUGUUAAUUUAGGGCUAACCCGUCUCUGUGGCAAAAGAGUGGGAAGAGCUCCGGGUAGAAGUGACAGACCUACCGAACCUGGUGAUAGCUGGUUGCCUGAAAAAUGGAUAGAAGUUCAGCCUCGCACCCCCCGAUCCAACAAAUAUAUCGUCAAGAUGCUCAGAGAGACAUGCGAGAGUUAGUUAAAAGGGGUACAGCCCUUUUAACAAAGGAUACAACCUUCACAGGAGGAUAAAGAUCAUAAUAUAUAAGAUAUACUGUUCUAGUGGGCCUGAAAGCAGCCACCUAAGCAGAAAGCGUUAAAGCUCGGACAGAGAGAAAUUUAUUAUACUGAUAAGAAAUCUUAUUCCCCUAACUGUAUCAGGCCAACCCAUGCCCCCAUGGAAGAGAUUAUGCUAAAAUGAGUAAUAAGAAGACACGCUCUUCUCCCGGCACACGUGUAAACCAGAUCGGACCGACCACUGGAACUUAACGAACCCAACCCAAGAGGGUAGUGUGAUUAAUAUAAACCUCAAGAAGACCUCACACCAACUGAUCGUUAACCCCACACUGGAGUGCUAUUUCAAGGGAAAGACUAAAAGAGGAGGAAGGAACUCGGCAAACACAAGCCUCGCCUGUUUACCAAAAACAUCGCCUCCUGCAACUAGACUGAGUAUAGGAGGUCCAGCCUGCCCAGUGACUACGGGUUCAACGGCCGCGGUAUCUUGACCGUGCAAAGGUAGCGCAAUCACUUGUCUCUUAAAUAGAGACCUGUAUGAAUGGCUAGACGAGGGCUUAACUGUCUCCCCCCUCCAGUCAGUGAAAUUGAUCUAUCCGUGCAGAAGCGGGUAUAAAUAUACAAGACGAGAAGACCCUUUGGAGCUUAAGGUACAAAAUUCAACCACGUUAAACAACCCCAUAAAAGGCAAGAACUUAGUAGCAAUGAAAUUUUACCUUCGGUUGGGGCGACCGCGGAGGAAAAACAAGCCUCCGAGUGGACUGGGCCAAACCCCUGAAGCCAAAAGAAACAUCUAGAAGCCGCAGAAUAUCUGACCAAAAAUGAUCCGGCUAAAAGCCGAUCAACGAACCAAGUUACCCAAGGGAUAACAGCGCAAUCCCCUCCCAGAGCCCGUAUCGACGAGGGGGUUUACGACCUCGAUGUUGGAUCAGGACAUCCUAAUGGUGC
rnacentral:rRNA from 1 species